AGCCUUGAAUCAGUGGUGUUAUGGAUGUCAACAACCCAGUGUCCACUGGGGUAUCUCAAUGGAGCGGGAAGUUGGCGAUUACAGGGCAGUAAAUUCAGGCAUCUAUAAAAGAAUGAGACCUGAUCAGAAAUUUAAUGAACAUAUUAAGGAUGAUAAAGGUGAAGACUUUCAGAAACGUUAUAUCCUCAAGAGAGAUAACUCUAGCUUUGACAAAGAUGAUAACCAGAUGAGAAUACGUUUGAAAGAUGACAGAAGAAGCAAAUCUAUAGAAGAAAGAGAAGAAGAGUACCAGAGAGCUAGAGACCGAAUAUUUUCCCAAGAUUCCCUGUGUUCCCAAGAGAAUUACAUUAUUGACAAAAGACUCCAAGACGAGGAUGCCAGUAGUACCCAGCAGAGGCGCCAGAUAUUUAGAGUUAAUAAAGAUGCUUCAGGGAGAUCUACAAAUAGCCAUCAAAGCAGCACUGAGAAUGAGUUGAAGUACUCGGAACCACGACCCUGGAGCAGCACAGAUUCAGACAGCUCUCUUCGAAACCUGAAACCUGCUGUAACCAAAGCCAGCAGCUUCAGUGGAAUCUCAGUCCUGACAAGAGGUGAUAGUUCUGGAAGCAGCAAAAGCAUAGGCAGGCUUUC
rnacentral:sRNA from 1 species